CUCCACCUGGGACCUGCAGGCCAGUGUGGGGGUGCCUGCGGAUUUGGAGGAGCCUGGAGUCUUCCUGCUGAGAGUGCUGGUGGCCCUUAUCUUGCUGCUGCAUCUCAGGUUGCCCCUUUGCAGGAGUCUAUCCCUGUCUGCAAGUGGGAGCAGCACUGGGAUCUUGGGACUGCAGCGUGGCUAAGCCUGAGGAAUUGAAGCCCAGAUCAAUGAGAUGGAGACUGGGUUUGCGAGGGCUGAUCUGGGUUUGGUGAUCCCAAGAGACGGCAGAGACGGGGCUGAGAAUCUGUUGAACACUGACAGAGACAGUUCAACUUUCCAGCAAGACUUAUUUUAUUUUUUGAUUCACUAAUCUCUCUACCAUAUUUAGAACAGGAUGUUUUUAAUGCUUCAGCAUGUCGAGGACAAUGAUAUACGAAUGGUGUUUUGCAUUCUUGUUGUGUUCUUAUGUCUUUAAUUUUUUUCUCUGUGUUCAUAUUCUUCUUCUCUCUGGUCUAUUUUCUUUCCAACUUUUCUCCAAUCAACAGCCCAUCUCUGUCAGCUCCUCUUCUGUGAAUUUUUACUUCUAGCUUUUCUCUUCCUCAUGAAUAUUGCAUACUACACUACCUCUGUUCUCUCACCCACCAUUGAAAAUUGUAAACCAUUUUAACAAAUAUUCUGUUUGUACUAUAGAUAGUUAUUGAACUCAUCAUUUUGGUUUAAUGUGAGAAAGCAGUAGGCACCUUAGUGGGAGCUAUUAGGUUUAAGGCUAUAUAUUGUGUACACUGGGUGCUAUUGAUAUUGAUCUCACCAGUAAAGGCGAAGAGCUGGAAACCUUCAGGGACACUGUAGUGUCCUGCCUUAGAUCCAUACUUUUAGAUAGAAAAACACAUUAACAACAUGAAAAAACAAGGGAAUAAAGUGCCCCAAACAAACCAAGAUGCUUUUUCAA
rnacentral:lncRNA from 1 species